rnacentral:lncRNA from 1 species
AUCGCCGUGCGCCGCCGUCGCCGGCCACUGUGCACGGUGGCCGGAGUUUCGAAAAGGUAAUUUUUUUAUUUUUUUAUUGUUUUUAAUAUAUAUGUACACAUACAUGUAAACAAAGAAAAAAAAGAGUAAAGAAAAAGAAAAGAAAAAAAGAAAACCGAUUCGAAACUUAGAGGAUUUUAGAAAACCUUUUGAUUUCUGAUUAUGAUCUCCUCCUUGAGUUUCGUUUUCUGCUCUUGAUAUAUUGCUGAUAUCUGUUCUUUGCUUUGUAUUUUUUGAUAAUAAUGUUGUUUUUAUUUUCUUUUCCAAAAAACCAUCCGUACAAUAGUUUCGGGGGUGGCCUUUUAUAGGCAUUUCCCUUACAACUUGCUCUGCUUUCUAUCUUGUCUCGUUUAUUGUUUACAGGUACCAGUGGUGGAGCAGAGUCCACUUGCAGGCGUCGGUGGUGGGGAGCAGGUGCUGAACGGCUAGGGUUUAUUUCUUUUUUCUGUAUGUUAAGGUAUUUAGUGGGCUUUUAGGGUUUAAUUUAUUUGGGCCAAAAUUGGGCUUCUACA